rnacentral:rRNA from 1 species
AGUAAAUAGAUACCCAGGUAGUCCACGCCCUAAACGAUGUCAACUAGGUGUUGGAAGGGUUAAACCUUUUAGUACCGCAGCUAAACGCGUGAAAGUUGACCGCCUGGGGAGUACGGCCGCAAGGUUAAAACUCAAAGGAAUUGACGGGGACCCGCACAAGCGGUGGAUGAUGUGGAUUAAUUCGAUGCAACGCGAAAAACCUUACCUACCCUUGACAUGCCAGGAACUUUCCAGAGAUGGAUUGGUGCCCGAAAGGGAGCCUGGACACAGGUGCUGCAUGGCUGUCGUCAGCUCGUGUCGUGAGAUGUUGGGUUAAGUCCCGCAACGAGCGCAACCCUUGUCAUUAAUUGCCAUCAUUCAGUUGGGCACUUUAAUGAGACUGCCGGUGACAAACCGGAGGAAGUGGGGAUGACGUCAAGUCCUCAUGGCCCUUAAGGGUAGGGCUUCACACGUCAUACAAUGGUCGGUACAGAGGGUUGCCAAGCCGCGAGGUGGAGCCAAUCCCAGAAAGCCGAUCGUAGUCCGGAUCGCAGUCUGCAACUCG